AACGCGAAGAACCUUACCUGGGCUCGAACGGCUUCGGACAAUCCUUGGAAACAGGGACUUCCCGCAAGGGACUGGAGUCGAGGUGCUGCAUGGCUGUCGUCAGCUCGUGCCGUGAGGUGUUUGGUUAAGUCCAGCAACGAGCGCAACCCUUAUCAUUAGUUGCCAACACGUAAGGUGGGGACUCUAAUGAGACUGCCUAGGUUAACUAGGAGGAAGGCGAGGAUGACGUCAAGUCCGCAUGGCCUUUAUGUCCAGGGCUACACACGUGCUACAAUGGUCGGUACAGAGGGCUGCAAGACCGUAAGGUGGAGCAAAUCCCAGAAAGCCGAUCUCAGUUCAGAUUGUGGACUGCAACUCGUCCACAUGAAGUCGGAAUUGCUAGUAAUGGCGUGUCAGCAAUAACGCCGUGAAUACGUUCCCGGGCCUUGUACACACCGCUGUA
rnacentral:rRNA from 1 species